CCUGGCUCAGGAUGAACGCUAGCGAUAGGCUUAACACAUGCAAGUCGAGGGGCAGCAUGGUCUUAGCUUGCUAAGACUGAUUGCGACCGGCGCACGGGUGCGUAACGCGUAUGCAACUUGCCUCACAGAGGGGGAUAAACCGUCGAAAGAUGGACUAAUACCGCGUACACUCCAAUUUGGGCAUCCAAAGUAGAGGAAAUGAAAUUCGCUGUGAGAUAGGCAUGCGUCGCAUUAGCUAGUUGGUGAGGUAACGGCUCACCAAGGCGACGAUGGGUAGGGGAACUGAGAGGUUGAACCGCCACACUGGUACUGAGACACGGCCCAGACUCCUACGG
rnacentral:rRNA from 1 species